rnacentral:rRNA from 1 species
GACAGAGGGUGCAAACGUUUGUUCGGAAUUACUGGGCGUAAAGCGAGUGUAGGCGGUGUGGUAAGUCGGAUGUGAAAGCCCCGGGCUCAACCCGGGAAGUGCACUCGAUACUGCCACGCUAGAGUAUCGGAGAGGUUGGUGGAAUUCUCGGUGUAGAGGUGAAAUUCGUAGAUAUCGAGAGGAACACCUGUGGCGAAGGCGGCCAACUGGACGAGUACUGACGCUGAGACACGAAAGCGUGGGGAGCAAACAGG